CCUACGGGUGACAGCAGUGAGGAAUAUUGGUCAAUGGGCGUAAGCCUGACCCAGCCAAGUCGCGUGAGGGAUGAAGGUUCUAUGGAUCGUAAACCUCUUUUAUAAGGGAAUAAAGUGCGGGACGUGUCCCGUUUUGUAUGUACCUUAUGAAUAAGGAUCGGCUAACUCCGUGCCAGCAGCCGCGGUAAUACGGAGGAUCCGAGCGUUAUCCGGAUUUAUUGGGUUUAAAGGGUGCGCAGGCGGCCUUUUAAGUCAGCGGUGAAAGUCUGUGGCUCAACCAGAGAAUUGCCGUUGAAACUGGGAGGCUAGAGUAUGUUUGAGGCAGGCGGAAUGCGUGGUGUAGCGGUGAAAUGCGUAGAUAUCACGAAGAACCCCGAUGGCGAAGGCAGCUCACUAAACUGGGACUGACAUUGAUGCGCGAAAGUGUGGGUAUCAAACAGGAUUAGAUACCCCAGUAGUC
rnacentral:rRNA from 1 species